rnacentral:rRNA from 1 species
AACGAACGCUGGCGGCGUGCCUAACACAUGCAAGUCGAACGAGAACGGGGCUUCGGCUCCGAGUAAAGUGGCGCACGGGUGAGUAACACGUGGGUAACCUGCCUCUAAGAUUGGGAUAACUCGUCGAAAGAUGAGCUAAUACCGAAUAAGACCACAGUUCCCGCGGGAACAGGGGUCAAAGGUAGCCUCUGCUUGCAAGCUAUCACUUAGAGAUGGGCCUGCGCACCAUUAGCUAGUUGGUAGGGUAACGGCCUACCAAGGCAAAGAUGGUUAGCUGGUCUGAGAGGAUUAUCAGCCACACUGGAACUGAGACAAGGUCCAGACCCCUAAGGGAGGCAGCAGGGGGGAAUAUUGCGCAAUGGGCGAAAGCUUGACGCAGCAACGCCGCGUGAGGGAUGAAGGCCUUCGGGUCGUAAAGCUCUGUCGGGAGGAACGAAUGCUCCUGAGGUUAACAGCCUCGGGAGGUGACGGUACCUUAAAAGGAAGCACCGGCUAACUCUGUG